rnacentral:rRNA from 1 species
AUUGAACGCUGGCGGCAGGCCUAACACAUGCAAGUCGAGCGGCAGCGGGAAAGUAGCUUGCUACUUUUGCCGGCGAGCGGCGGACGGGUGAGUAAUGCCUGGGAAAUUGCCCAGCCGAGGGGGAUAACAGUUGGAAACGACUGCUAAUACCGCAUACGCCCUACGGGGAAAGCAGGGGACCUUCGGGCCUUGCGCGAUUGGAUAUGCCCAGGUGGGAUUAGCUAGUUGGUGAGGUAAUGGCUCACCAAGGCGACGAUCCCUAGCUGGUCUGAGAGGAUGAUCAGCCACACUGGAACUGAGACACGGUCCAGACUCCUACGGGAGGCAGCAGUGGGGAAUAUUGCACAAUGGGGGAAACCCUGAUGCAGCCAUGCCGCGUGUGUGAAGAAGGCCUUCGGGUUGUAAAGCACUUUCAGCGAGGAGGAAAGGUUGAUGCCUAAUACGUAUCAACUGUGACGUUACUCGCAGAAGAAGCACCGGCUAACUCCGUGCCAGCCGCCGCUGUAAAAC